CCCCCCUUAAAGUCUCAUGAUGACCAUUACAGAUAAAAGGAAGUCCAUUCCAGCAUCUAACGAUGUCUAACCUUGAUUUUCCACCUAUUCGAUGUACCUUGAAUGGAAAACCUUCCGAUGCACUGCGCUCUUUGAGUUAAAGGUUUGCCCUUGUUGCAUGUGCAUAUUCUGUAAUCUGAAGACUU